GCCGACGUAGCUCAAUGGUAGAGCAGCGGUUUUGUAAACCGCAGGUUAUAGGUUCAAAUCCUAUCGUCGGCU
rnacentral:tRNA from 1 species